GAUGAAGAACGUAGUGAAAUGCGAUACUUGGUGUGAAUUGCAGAAUCCCGUGAACCAUCGAGUCUUUGAACGCAAGUUGCGCCCGAAGCCAUUAGGCCGAGGGCACGCCUGCCUGGGUGUCACACACCGUUACCCUCGCGCCAACGUCCAUCGUUGGCCGCGGCGCGGGGCGUGCGCUGACCUCCCGCGAGCGGGGUCUCGUGGUUGGUUGAAAAUCGAGUUCGCGGUCGAGGGUGCCGUGAUGAAAUGGUGGAUGGGCGACGCCCGAGGCCAAUCACGCGCGACUCUGACCGGCUCGGACUCCUGGACCCCUUCGGCGUCUCCGGACGCUCUUUGGCGAGACCUCAGGUCAGGCGGGGCUACCCGCUGAGUUUAAGCAUAUCAAUAAGCGGAGGA
rnacentral:misc_RNA from 1 species